rnacentral:rRNA from 1 species
AUUGAACGCUGGCGGCAGGCCUAACACAUGCAAGUCGAGCGGAUGAGUGGAGCUUGCUCCAUGAUUCAGCGGCGGACGGGUUAGUAAUGCCUAGGAAUCUGCCUGGUAGUGGGGGACAACGUUUCGAAAGGAACGCUAAUACCGCAUACGUCCUACGGGAGAAAGUGGGGGAUCUUCGGACCUCACGCUAUCAGAUGAGCCUAGGUCGGAUUAGCUAGUUGGUGAGGUAAAGGCUCACCAAGGCGACGAUCCGUAACUGGUCUGAGAGGAUGAUCAGUCACACUGGAACUGAGAAACGGUCCAGACUCCUACGGGAGGCAGCAGUGGGGAAUAUUGGACAAUGGGCGAAAGCCUGAUCCAGCCAUGCCGCGUGUGUGAAGAAGGUCUUCGGAUUGUAAAGCACUUUAAGUUGGGAGGAAGGGAAGUAAGUUAAUACCUUGCUGUUUUGACGUUACCAACAGAAUAAGCACCGGCUAAAUUCGUG